rnacentral:rRNA from 1 species
AUGUUGGGAGAGAGAAAAAUUUGGGAUAUUAUUUGGAAGGCCAAUGUUCCUCAGAAAAUCCGUAUUUUUGCAUGGCGUGUCGCUAUCGAUAGUCUGGCUGUCCAGAUAAACCGAGUUCUCCAUCACCAAACCACCCUUCGUACCUGUUCUAUUUGUGGAGUGGAAGAUGAAAGUACCUUUCAUGCGUUAGUCAUGUGCCCUAAGGCAUAUGCAUUGCGCAUGUCCAUGAGGGAUAUUUGGAUCUUGCCUAUGAAGGAGGCUCCCAAGUAUACUGGGGCUGAUUGGUUUUUUGUUCUUUUGGAUCAAUUAAGCCCUACUAUGCGUGACCAAAUUAUUUUCAUUUUCUAGAGAGCCUGGCAUUUGAGAAACAACAUGAUUUUUGGUAAGGGGAAGGAAUCC